UCGGGAAUUUUGGGCAAUGGGGGAAACCCUGACCCAGCAACGCCGCGUGAAGGAUGAAGUAUUUCGGUAUGUAAACUUCGAAAGAAUAGGAAGAAUAAAUGACGGUACUAUUUAUAAGGUCCGGCUAACUACGUGCCAGCAGCCGCGGUAAUACGUAGGGACCAAGCGUUGUUCGGAUUUACUGGGCGUAAAGGGCGCGUAGGCGGCAUGACAAGUCACUUGUGAAAUCUCUGGGCUUAACCCAGAACGGCCAAGUGAUACUGUCACGCUAGAGUAUUGGAGGGGCAAUCGGAAUUCUUGGUGUAGCGGUGAAAUGCGUAGAUAUCAAGAGGAACACCUGAGGUGAAGACGGGUUGCUGGCCAAAUACUGACGCUGAGGCGCGAAAGCCAGGGGAGCAAACGGGAUUAGAUACCCAGGUAGUCCCUGAGCGGGCUGGCAAGGCGCAU
rnacentral:rRNA from 1 species